GGAGUUGAUUGAGCAAGACUGAGACCUUUUUCAGUCAAGCAGUUCUUUUAGAGGGGCGGGAAGAAGGCUUGCCCAAGGACACUAAUGUACUACUUUCUUGUGUUAAACAGCAACAAACAGGAGUGGUACUUGGCAAAAGGAGAAAGGAUGCAAUGAAUGGUAUGGCCUGUUGAGGGGGAGAACAAAGGGAACAUAGUUAUAAACCAAUGACAAGCAAUUUUAUUGAGGCAUUCUGAACUCUUUCACUUCAGCCCAUGACAUCUUAACCACUAAGAUUCAUGAGAAGAAAAACUACCCAGAUGUGAUUUGAUUUACUCCAUGUAUUUUAAUAUUCAAGGAACCCAGGAGAGCAAAAUGGAAAGUUUUAAACGGAAAACUUACCUCUUUUGGUUGGCUGAGGUUCAAGCUUACAAUGUCACCACAGAGAGCUGAAGAAAGUCUUAGACCCUGUCAUUUCAUUACCAGAGAAAGCUCGGUAUCUCCUUCUUCUUUUUAUUUCUCGGGUGACCGAAGCAUUAGGCAGUAAUAUCACUUGCCCAGCACUGUGUCCUUUGUGAGCCAAACCCUCAAGUGUCAGAGCAGCGGUGCUUCCUGAGGUGGUUUGCAAGCACUGACAACGCAUGCAAGGAGGAGAAGCAGCGUAAAGUCAGUGGUUAGAAAGGCAAAUGAGACUGAAUACAGGGGGGAGUAAAUGUGAUUAAUACCUCUUACUGACUUAACUUUUGUCUCCUUGCUGAAAUUCCCUCUCCUUUUGGUGGAAACAAAAUCCCACCAUAAGAAAACAUGGAGAUUAUAUAUGUAUUUAACAUUUCAUUCUUUCUUUACGCUGAAGGGUUUUCCUCACAUGCACUGAAAUAAGGAUGUCUCCACUCCCUUUCUACACGUUUGCCAAGUCCAAUAUUUCGUGGAGCUUUAAGGUGAUAAGUAUAUUUUCUGAAUAAAAAGUGAUCCCCUACAUAAUACUCCCCCUCAAAGAGAGUGGGACCACAAACACACAAAAUUAAGAACAAUUAAAUGGUAACCAGUUGCACUAACU